AAUGCGCUAAUUAAUGUGAAUUGCAGAAUUCAGUGAAUCAUCGAGUCUUUGAACGCACAUUGCGCUCCCUGGUAUUCCGGGGGGCAUGCCUGUCCGAGCGUCAUUGCUGCCCUCAAGCACGGCUUGUGUGUUGGGCUUCCGUCCCUGGCAACGGGGACGGGCCCAAAAGGCAGUGGCGGCACCAUGUCUGGUCCUCGAGCGUAUGGGGCUUUGUCACCCGCUCCCGUAGGUCCAGCUGGCAGCUAGCCUCGCAACCAAUCUUUUUAACCAGGUUGACCUCGGAUCAGGUAGGGAUACCCGCUGAACUUAAGC
rnacentral:misc_RNA from 1 species